UUUCAUAUUCUCUCUUUUCCCCUUUUCCCCCUCAAACCCUAGCAUCAUCGCUGCCCCUUUCUCCACCAUAUCCAUGACCACCACCACCUCCAAUGGAAAACCAAAGCUAUUUUCGUACUCCUCGUCUCACUACCUUCCUAAUAGAUUGGUUGGAUUUUUAUUUCGACCAACAACUAUUUCUCCUAUCCGACCGUCACAAAUCCAAACGGAAACGCAGAAACUCAUCACCAUGCCAACCUUCGUCUCUAAUUCUAUAGUAACAACAAAAACCAUAAAAGUAUGUUCUGUUUUGUUUUGAUUUUUUCCUUUUAUGUAUUUUAUAAUAUGAACUAUUACCUUUGGGCCAUGUUUGGAUACAGUAAAAUGAACGAAGCAGAAUGGAAUGGAGCAGAGUGGAGCGGGGUGGAAUGGAAUAAAGAUACCAUUCCAUUGUUUGGGUGUUUCAUGGCGGAAAAGAGCAAUUUUAUCAUUGUGUCCAAAUUGGAGGGUACAAAAAGUGAUGGAAUGGGAUGGAAUGUAUUCCAUCCGGUUCUGCAUCAUUCCAUCCAUUUUUAAUUAAUCCAAACAACGAAAUUUAAGUUUAUUUCAUUCCAUCAAUCCAAACAUACCCUUGAUGUUGCUUUUGAGUUAGAUCUUAAAAUAUGUUGACAGAAUCACAAAGGAGAUGCUGGUAUUUAUUUUCCCUUUUACGAUUUGCAUUAUUGUUUUGUUUACAAUAGGGUCUGAUAUGCAUUAUUUUGUCUUAUAUCUUACGCAAGAAUGUACUAGACAGUGAAGAGAAAUUUAGGUCAGACUUGAUGAACAUUGCAAGGACUUCCAUCACUUAUUUUUAUGGUUUUCAUCUCUCAUGAAAGUACAUCCAAGAUUUCUAUUUGUUAUAUUUUGGUUCUAAUUCUAAACCUCUUUAUUGCUUUCAAUUGUGCUACAAUACACCAUUAUAGUGGUUUAUAGUUAUUAAAAGUUUAGCAUUUUGGUUGUCAAUCUUUUUAUGUUUUUGCCUUGCCUUAGCUGUUAGCGCUCCUGGUUUUGACAUGAGAGAAACUUCUCUUAUUGCUUCCUCAUAAGUUUGAGAUUAAUUAUCUCUAAAUUAUUGAAGUAGGUUAAAAUCGAAAUCUACAAAAAUGCAACUUACAUUUGUGUAGAUGUUUGACUGUCAAAGCAUAAUAUGUAUCACAACAUUCUUGAAGCAAAUUGUUUUGGCCAAUUUAUAUCAUUAUUGAAAGUUCUCAAUCUGACAAUUGAUAAGAAAAUUAUGUUGCUAAAAUGUCUGACAAAAUGUAUUUUCAUUAAACUAUAGUCUGAAUCAAAUACCAUUAUCAUCUUUGGUUUAAUUAACUAAAGAAAUAAAGAGUAGUUGAGUUGUUUUAUCGAGAUUUGGUUAACUCUUGAAUAGCCAAGCUUGUGAGUACUUGUGAUUAAUUUUGUAAGUUCUCACAGGUGUGGAUAAAUAGAUAGGAGUACACAAAAGUUGUGUCUGUUUCAAUUUUGCAGAGGAGUUCACAUAAAUUGUAUAUUUGUUUCAUUAGUUUAUUUCAUCGAUGACUUCUGUUGCAGCCUCUGAGUAGAUUGGUACUUUCUAAGGAGUACUUGAUAAUGCCUUGAUGGAUUUAGCAUGGAUGGAGUAUUUGAGUUAACAGUGAAAUCAAAAUCAAAUUAAAAUAACUGAAUUGAAGGGAUAAGUGUGGACAUUAAGUUUUUAUUUUUUAGUGGUUAAAAUUCAAAUAAAAAAUGAUGAUCAUAAAAUAGCCUUUUCUUGCAUUUAUGUGAUCUAAAUGUUCUUAAUACUCUUGCAUUUAUGUGAUUUGGAUUUUCAUAAUAAUAAUUUUUAAUACUUUUGAUUAUCUUGUCUCUCAAUUCAAACCUGCAAUUUAGUGAAUCCAAUUGAUAUAUGUAGACUUUUUAACCUUUUUUUCAUCAAUUUUGAUGUGUGCACUGCAGAGUAGCAGAUGUAGUAUUUGUGUUCACGAGUAUACUAUUUCCUAACCAUACGAAUUUUCUUCUCUUAGUUAAAUUUGUCACCAUAUGGUUCCAAUGAAUGAUGAAAAGUUUGAAUUAUGUAGGUAUGCGACAUAUUAUGGCAUGCUUAAUUUUUGUAUAACAAACAAUGGGCACGACUGGAGAGAAGGAUCAAAAUAAUACAAAGUCAGUGAGGAUUGUCUUGCAACUGUAGAUCAAAAGCAACAAUUAUGGUUAAUCUUCCCAACAUAUUUCCCCAUUGGUUAAUCUUCUUACUUUUGGUAUGCCAUGGAAUGCUCAUUUGAAAAGUCCACGGGAAGAGGAAGUUAGCAAGGGCUUUGGCAUAGGUAAAAAAGAGACAUUGCAUUUAAUGGUCAUGUCCAUACCUAUGAAAGAGUGUGCCUCGUUUAUCAGAACCAGUAUGUGAAUAAGGAAAAAUAUCUUUGUCAAACAUAGUAGAAGGAAGUAUUUAUGAUAUGUUGGCCAAACAUAUUUGUUUUCUUUGAAAUGAAUUGGAUAAUGACUGGAAAAAUUGAAGAUGAAUGUGAUUUCCAAAAUAUUAGAUCAUCCAUCAACACUCUCGAUUAUGUUGGAGAAUGUGGAGUUCCUACAAAAACCAUGUACUAUUUUCCUUCUGAGAGAAUAGCCAAAUUCUGGUAUACAACGUAUUAUGAAAUGUUUAGUUUAUGCAUAACAAACAACAUACAUGAUUGGAGAGAAAAUCAAGACAAUACAAAUUCCUUAAGAAUUGUCUUGCAAUGGUAGAUUGAAAACAAAAACCAUGGUUAAUCUUCACAGCACAUUGCCCCCUUGGUUAAUCUUCUAAAUCUUGUAUAUCAUAGAAGGCUCAUUUGAAGAACCCAUGGGAAGGGAAAUUUUACAAGGUCUUUGGCAUAAAUACAAAGUAGACAUUGCAUUUUAUAGUCAUGUCCAUAACUAUGAAAGAGUAUGCACCAUUAUCAUGUAUAAUACUGUUGUCAUAUUCAUGUUGGACCUGAAACCUAAAGAGGCAUAUAUGCUUGCCCUCAAAUAGAAGUGCAACAACUACAACCGCGAGAUCAGUUGCUUUAUGCACAAAAUGAAAAAGUGAAGGUAGGAUUCUGAUCCAAUUUACCACAUAAGAAUUUAAAUUGUUUAUGUUCAUCAAAUAAUUUGGUUCAUAGUUGAAGUGUUCAAGGAUUUCAGAUUUAAUACUUAGAUUAUAGACCAAAUUUUCUCAAUGAGUUUUGUUGUGCACAAAAGUGAAUUAAAAUUGGUUUCUUCGUUAUUUGAAACCUAAAUAGUAUUUGGUUUAUCUCAUAAUGUUGCAGUUUUGUGAUUAAA